AAGAAUUCCUCUAUCUCACAGCUGCAGACAUGAGGCAGAGGCCAAAGGCCAGAUCUGAAAUAGAGUUAGGCCUAGGAAAACAGAAAUGCCCCAAGCCAGAGCCCCUCGCAGGGGCUGGGGCCAGCGGGGCUGAACAGCCCUCCCAGGAGGAACCUGCUUCGCUGCACCAAGAUGCUGCCCGGGACGUCAACAGUCCUGUUACCUGGAGCUAAGGGGGAGCCCAGCUUGCAGGUGCCAGGAGGCUUCUCACAUGGUAAGGUGGAGGAACCUUGGGCUCCCCUCCCCAUGCCAAAGGGAGCAGGAGAAAGUGGAGCAAGAGGCUUUCCCGGGGCUUGUUCGUGGAAAGGCUUUGCUUGAGGGCUGAAUUUAGGUCAAAUUUGGAACUGGAACUCUGAAAACAAACCUUUUCCCCAAAAAAUGGUGCUACAAAUUGGUCUUUCAGCCUUGUCUUCAGGACAAACCUUCCAAAAAAAUGAAGGCUUUGCCACAUGUUUUCCAUAACUGGCCAAAUAAAAUAUUAUGUUUUAAAGCAUUCAGGGUCAGAGAAAUAACUUGGGCUCUGCGCUCAGCAUUUUUUUCCUCCUCACAAUAGCUUCUGCUGAAUGAUAAUCUUUAAAACUAUGCAUGUGGGGGGCCAGAUCCUGACCCCCAUUGCAUCUGCUCUGCAUUGCCUCUGAAAACGCAGAGCAAGCAGAAAGCCAGCUUAGCUGGAUUGCUGGAGAUUACCCUGACCCCGUUUGUCAGCUGCGGUGUGGGACCCUGGGUGCCGUGGCAGGAGGAGGGGAAUUUGCUUAACUCAGCCUUGGCUGAAUUAUAAAAUGCCUGCACCGAGUUCACCCCUGAUCGUCCACCUCUGGAAUUCCAAUUCUGCCUGCUCUGUUUUCUCUCAAAUUGACAAUGCUCUGAGCUUUCCUCAGAGGUGUGGAUCCUGAAACAGAGAACAGGGAGGAAAUUUUGGUUUUCAUUACAGUGUAGUUCUAUAAAGCAUACUUCCAUCUUUUGUAACGAUGGAGAAAAGAUUGAAAACAUGACCUGAAUAUACUCCACAGGCUCAGUAACUGGAAGGCAAUGAAUAAAGAACCCCAACUUCAUUGA